GCGGAUGUGGCGGAAUUGGCAGACGCGCCAGAUUCAGGUUCUGGUGGUGGCAACGCUGUGUGGGUUCAAAUCCCACCAUCCGCACCA
rnacentral:tRNA from 1 species